UUGUAGAGUCAUACACCUCU
rnacentral:miRNA from 1 species